UUUUUUUUUUUAUUUUUUUAUUUUUUAUAAAUUUAGUCCUGUCUUGAAUAAGCUAUUUCACAUAACAGAUGUUUACAUAUGGGCCACAAGCCAAUAACUGAAUUUAUAAAAAUGACCCCGUUCAAAAGUUUACAUGCGCUUGAUUCUUAAUACUGUGUCGUUACCUGGAUGAUCAAUGACUGCAUUUAUGUUUUGUGAUAAUUGUUCAUGAGUCCGUUGUUUGUCCUGAGCAGUUAAACUGCCCACUGUUCUUCAGAAAAAUCCUCCAGGUCCUGCACAUUCUUUACUUUUCCAACAUAUUUGAGCCCUUUCUGGUAGCGGUUAUAUGAUGAUCCGAUCCAUCUUUUCACACUGAGGACAACCGAGGGACUCAUACAUGACUAUUCCAAAAGGUGCCAACAGUGACUACGUUUACAUGGACAGCAUUAAUCUAAUUAUUGACCUUACUCUGAGUAAGAUAAUAAUGUGAUUAAGGUGUUUAAAUGAUUCGCUUUUAGAAUACUCCUUCAUGUACCCGUUUUACAUGUUAUAGAACAUAAUUAGGUUAACAGCCUGCAUCAUUACGUCACUGCGCCAUGACGUCUGACGACCCUCCAGAAUUUCAGGUAUCAACAUACAGUUCGUCUUCGUUAUGGUAAACUAUACAGUUCUGGGUGUUUUUAUUUAAUUUUUUUACGAACGCUUUAAGUGCAGUUAAUUAUUUGUCAUGCUAUACGUGCUAAUAGACAACUGCUUGAAGCCAUAUAGACAACUGCUUGAAGCCAUGGUUGUCCAUGUAAACGCAGCUUGUAAUACAUGUCCAUAAUGCGACUAAAACUGGAGUACUCCACCUGUCUUAAAAAGAUUAUUGCUUACUUAGAUUAUGACCUUAAUUAGAUUAAGGUAAGUAAAAAUUGCUGUUUACAUGGUAGUGUCUUAAUCGGAUUAAGAGUGGAUAAUUGUUGUCCAUGUAAACGCAGCUAUUCACUGAUGCUCAAGAAGGUAACAAUGCAUUAAGAGCCUGGCUGUAAACUUUUUAACAGGAUGAUUGUGUAAAUUGUUUUGUCUUCUGGGAUACAUGUAUAUCUUAUUUAGCUUCUGAAUGGCUGUAAUAAAUGAAAAAAAUAAGAUCUUUAAACAAACUAAUAACAAUUUACACUGAUCAUCCUAUUAAAAUGUUUACACCCCCCUGGCUCUUAAUGUAUUUUCUUACCCUGAUUAGUUUCUAAUGACUGGUUAGUUUCUUGGUGUAAUGAACAGAAUCUGCUGUUUGUUAAUAACUGGAACCUGUUCUGGGAGCAUCCUAGGUUGUUUUGUCCUGAUGGCCUGCACCCCAGCAGCCUCAGAGUGGAACUGCUGUCAGACAAC
ensembl:lncRNA